UGUUCCCUUCACAUCCGCCUUGAUCAUUUCAUUUUCUCUGGACUGACGUGGUGAAGCAGACGUUGAAGAAUCUUUUGUAAUCCACCUUUAGAACAGAAUGCGAGCUAAGUGGAGGAAGAAGCGCAUGCGGAGGUUGAAGCGAAAGAGGAGGAAGAUGAGGGCGAGGUCCAAGUAGAUCGUUUCCCUUUCAUACGAGGGGUGAUCAAGAUGGCACUACACUUCAAAAACGUUGUGUUUCAAACAUUUUUUUAUUAAUUGUUUUAAAAAUUGACAAAUAAAAUGUUGUUUUGGUCAUUCCUAAA